GGCUCUGUGGCGCAAUGGAUAGCGCGUUGGACUUCUAGACAGCGAGUGGUAAUUCAAAGGUUGUGGGUUCGAGUCCCACCAGAGUCG